rnacentral:rRNA from 1 species
GACGAACGCUGGCGGCGUGCCUUACACAUGCAAGUCGAACGGCAGCACGGGAGCAAUCCUGGUGGCGAGUGGCGAACGGGUGAGUAAUAUAUCGGAACGUGCCCAGUCGUGGGGGAUAACGCAGCGAAAGCUGUGCUAAUACCGCAUACGAUCUAUGGAUGAAAGCGGGGGAUCGCAAGACCUCGCGCGAUUGGAGCGGCCGAUAUCAGAUUAGCUAGUUGGUGAGGUAAAGGCUCACCAGGGCGACGAUCUGUGCUGGUCUGAGAGGACGACCAGCCACACUGGAACUGAGACACGGUCCAGACUCCUACGGGAGGCAGCAGUGGGGAAUUUUGGACAAUGGGCGCAAGCCUGAUCCAGCAAUGCCGCGUGCAGGAUGAAGGCCUUCGGGUUGUAAACUGCUUUUGUACGGAGCGAAACGGCCUACCCUAAUACGGUGGGCUAAUGACGGUACCGUAAGAAUAAGCACCGGCUAACUACGUGCCAGCCGCCGCAGUAA